rnacentral:rRNA from 1 species
AGUGAACGCUGGCGGUAGGCCUAACACAUGCAAGUCGAACGGCAGCACAGUAAGAGCUUGCUCUUACGGGUGGCGAGUGGCGGACGGGUGAGGAAUACAUCGGAAUCUACUUUUUCGUGGGGGAUAACGUAGGGAAACUUACGCUAAUACCGCAUACGACCUACGGGGGAAAGCAGGGGAUCUUCGGACCUUGCGCGAUUGAAUGAGCCGGUGUCGGAUUAGUUAGUUGGCGGGGUAAAGGCCCACCAAGGCGAGGAUCCGUAGCUGGUCUGAGAGGAUGAUCAGCCACACUGGAACUGAGACACGGUCCAGACUCCUACGGGAGGCAGCAGUGGGGAAUAUUGGACAAUGGGCGCAAGCCUGAUCCAGCCAUACCGCGUGGGUGAAGAAGGCCUUCGGGUUGUAAAGCCCUUUUGUUGGGAAAGAAAAGCAGCAGGUUAAUACCCCGCUGUUCUGACGGUACCCAAAGAAUAAGCACCGGCUAACUUCGUG